AUUACUUUGUUUAUUGUGAAACCUUCAUUACCUUCCACGAAAUUAUAUCGCGUUAGUUUUACCUGAACCUUAAUACAUUUUCCAGAUAUGGCUUUUAUCGCUUCUGGAAAACUUCUCUACCAUUAAACUGAUCAAUGAAUAAUUAUUUGUUAGGCACAUAUUGAAUGUGUUUUAAAAUGAGUUUCAAAAUACUUUAAGAUGAAGAUGUACUCAGAUAUUUUAUUGUUCGUGCAACCUCUUGAGCCGGUACUUUCACCAAUUUUUCAACUUGUUCAUAACAACGAAAGUAGUUUUCGUAGAUUCAUCUUGAAUUUCCAUAGUUAUCCUAUAGUUGUAUAAUUUUUUUCCAAAACAUUGAUUAUCAAAGUCAUUCUGUGUUAUGUAUUUGUGGUUCAUAUUGUAAAUUUUUACAUACCUAUUUUUUGCAAAUACCUCUGUCACUUUGCGCACCAAAAUGUAUCUCCCGCAUCAAUUGUUUUUUUUAAACAAUCCGGACUUCCACGAUAACGCCAUUUUUGGUUAUCCAUUAUAGUAUUGAUUCUCACAUUGCAUAUAUAGAAAUAUUCCAUGAAAUUACAAAGAUGAAUAUUAGCUAUACAACAGAUGAUAAGUUUGCAUAACUGAUAGGCCAUCUUUUAAAAGCUUUAUUACCUCCGCGGUUUCUAGAUCAUUGAAUAAAAUAAGAUCGCUCAAAGGUGCAGAUGCAAAUGGUGCAACAUUUGGUCUGAUUUUUGGGGGGAAAAUAUCAUUUGAUAUAAUAGGAAAAAGUCAUAUCGCGCCCAAAAAUUGCUAAUCACGGUAUGUUGUUUUGUGAUAACCAUAUAAAAAAUAUAUUGGUCCACAUAUCGGUCGAUAGAUCGGCCAUAUCGGGGGGAUAUCGCCCAAAAUAGCCAAAAAGAGGUGAAUAAUAUUUAGAGAUCAUAUCGGUUGCGGCAAACCUUGUAAAAGGAUAUAUCAGAGGAUAUAUCGGAUCAUGUCGGGGAUAUUUAAAAUAAUGGGUACAAGUUUCAAAGCCCUAUACGAUGAUGAUUUUGACCAUUCAGACGGAAAUAAUAUGGUCCUCCACAAUUAUUGUAAGUAUUAUCAAUAUUUCUCCCGAGGAUGUAAAAGUAAACAUACUAUUAUAGGAUUCGAUAUUUUCCUUAAAUUUAUUAUUGUCUGCUUCCACCUAGGUAUAAAAGUUCUCGAAGAAAACAUGGAGGUUCUUUUAAAAGAGGGAACUUUAUUUUCCUUUACCACAACAAUGAGAGAAAGAAGACUUCUUUGUUUUCCAAGAUUUUUCUGCUCAUUCCUCAUACCACAACAUAGAACUAUGCAUCUGUUAAAAGUGAAGUUGUAAUGUAAAUGUGCGAUCUCGCCUCCUGGAGUGGAUGUUUCAUUACCUUCUCAUCCAAAAGUUUUUCAGGCCAGUUGCUCUGAAGUGAUUUCACAAGGUCACGAUGUAGUGUGUUUUAGGUACUUAACUUCCCCUCCACCUCCACUUCCUCUGCUCUGACUUCUUCGACUUCUCCAACUUCUCUUCCCCUCAUUUUCCUUCUUGAAAAUGGCGUCAAGUCGGGCAUGACAAAUGGGACCCCAUAGGCAUCACAUGUUCCUCCACCUAGUCUUGAAAUUUUAACUCUUUAAGGAUUUUAUUCUAUUAGUUAAUGUACCGUUGAUUGUGGUAGCCAAAUCAUCUUAUGUUUGUGCAUCUAUCGGACACUUGUGGUAAUACACUUACCUUGAAAUGUUUUGGGAGUUAAUUCUCUCUUGUAAAUAGGGUGAGGUUUUCCUUAUUUGUAAUUUAUUUUCUUUUGUAAAUAUGAAGAGGUUUGACCAAAAAAAUAUAGUGAAAGUAGGUGACAGUAGUAGAUAUACUCCAACUGAGGAAGAUAUUGAAUUCAGGUAACUUGUCAAUUAGUAGCAAGGAAUGAAAAUAUCAUUGCUAGGAAGUCCUUAACUACAAAGCCUGUGAGCGAGCUACAUUCUUUCGGUUUCCUUUUUAAGUCUAGAGGUGUAUGCAACCCAUAAGAUACAUUAAGGAUGAUGUCAGCAAGACAUUUGUUAACGUGGCCACUUAUAAUGUCUUAGCUCAUUGUUAUGCAGAACCACAAAAAUAUAAAUUUACUGACUUGUGAAUUAACAAUUAGGUGUGGUGACUGAAAAGUAUUUGCACUGAAGUGAUUUCACAUUGUCAAUUAGUAUCAAGGAAUGAAAAAGUAUUUGCACUGAAGUUAUUUCACGUAGUCACCAUUGUUUUGCAGAACCACAAAUAUAUGAAUGGACUGACAUGCAUAUUAACAAUUGGGUGUAGCGACUAAAAAGUAUUUGCACCGAAGUGAUUUCACAUGGUCAUGAUAUAGUUUGUUUCAGGAUGUAGUCUGUUUUGGACAGAUUUAUAAAAUAUUACAUCGUGAAAUCACUUCAGUGCAAAUAGUUUUCAGUCACCACACCCAAUUGUUAAUCCGCAAAUCAGUCCAUUUAUAUUUUUGUGGUUCUGCAUAUCAAUGGUGAACAUGUGAAAUCACUUUAAUGCAAAUACUUUUACAUUCCUGGCUACUAAUUGACAAUGUGAAAUCACUUCAGUACAGUUACUUUUCAAUCGCCACACCCAAUUGUUAAUCCGCAAGUCGGUCCAUUUAUAUUUUUACGGUUCUGUAUAACAAUGGGCUAGGACAUUAUAAGUGGCCACAUUAACAAAUGUCUUGCCGGCUUCAUCCUCAAUGCAUCUUAUGGGUUGCAUACACCUUUAGACUUGAAAAAGAAUUCGAAAAGGAUGUAGCUCACUUACAGACUUUGUAGUUGAGGACUUCCUAGCAAGUAUAUUUCCAUUCCUUGCUACUAAUUGACAAGUCACCUGAAUUCCUGAAUUCGACAGUCAAUAUCUUCCUCGAUUGGAGUAUAUAUACUACCGUCACCUACUUUUAUUAUGUUUUUUUGGGUCACACCUCUUCCUAUUUACAAAAGAACAUAAAUUGCAAAUGAGGAAAAACCUCACCUUAUUUAGAAGAGAAAAUAAACUCCCUAAACAUUUCAAGGUAAGUGCAUUACCACAGGUGGCCGAUGGAUGUACCAAGACAAGAUGAGCUGGCUGCCACAAUAAGCGGUACGUCAACUAAUGGAAUAAAGUCUUUGAGAGUCAAAAUUUCAAGACUAGGCGGAGGAACAUGUGAUGCCUGGGGGGUCCAUUUGCCAUGCCCGACUUGAUGCCAUUUCCAGGAAAGAAAAUGAGGGGAGGGGAAGUCGGAGAAGAAGUCAGAGCAGAGGGGAAGUGGAGGUGGAGCGGAAAUGGCGGUCGCCAGUAGAGGCGGAGGGAAAGUGGAGGUCGGCAGGGGAGGAAUGUUCAAAAUUAUCAGAUUGAUUUCCGAGCCAUAGCCACGAUGUCACCUUACACACCUUAAGAAGUUUAUCUGCUAUCAAGUCAAAUGGAGCUAUAAUUUUACAGAUAGGGUUUGAAGGUAUACAUCGAAAGAUUUUUAUUGCCAAUAUCCAUCUAACAUCUACGAGCCCAGAAGCUCGAGGUUCACAGAUAUUCUUUCUGUGCCGAGAGCUCAAACAGUUGGAAGGAUAAUGGUUUUUUGAAAGAAGAAGAUUGGCUAAUUAUUUGUGGAGACUUCAAUUCAGUUCUAGAAAGGGGUCAGUUCUUCAGGCACGACUAAGCUAAUGGAAAACUUCUGAGGAGAAAUUAGAUUUGAGGAGCAAUUAUCACUGAACAAACAGUAACACUUUUUUGUACAGUCCAGAUUCUACUAGAUAUCAUACUUGAGGUAUUCUGAUACACUCCCAUACUAGAUAUCAUACUUGAGGUAUUCUGAUACACCCAGAAAUCAGUAUUUGAUACUUGGGAAAUAUUUGCUGUGACUGAUGACUGCAAAUUUUUGCUUAAAUCAGGAAGUGACUGAUGACUUGUCUGCAAUUGCUUGGAAUAUUAUCCGAGUUUGAGUCUAUCUAAUAUAUGGCAGUAAAUUGUCUUCACAUCGUUAAGUCUCGUAUGCAACCCUACUGAAGUAUUGAGUCUCCAUUUUGUUUUUCUGUAUUUUUUAAAAUGAUAGGAGUAGGAAUUUUUCAUCGCCACUCAUUCAUGAAGACGGUACUUAAUCAAGUUGUCUUAACAGAUUGUUGCUGGAUC